rnacentral:lncRNA from 1 species
AUCCAGCAUUAGUAUUCAUUGAUGGUAGGUUUUAAAUAAAUUAAACUCAUGAUCCGACCCGAUCCGAACCGGAUCCGAACCGAACCCGUAUUUCAUGGAUUGGAACCGGGUUAUAUAUGGAUCCGAUCUGACCCAAAUAAUCCAAUAGGUCAAUAAAUUUGACUAUGGAUCCGAUCUGAUCUGAUCCGAUAUUUUAUCGGGAUGUGUAUAGGUCCAAUAUCAAGAUCCGAUCAAGAAAUCGGAUCGGGUCGGGAUCACUCAAAAUUUGGUCCGAUCCGACCCAUUUGCAGGCC